AACGCACAUUGCGCCUGCUAGUACUCUAGCAGGCAUGCCUGUCCGAGCGUCAUCUUACCCCUCAGGCGGCCCCUGUUUGCCGCCUGGUGUUGGGGCUCCUACGCGCCGCCGUAGGCCCUGAAAUUCGUCGGCGAGCCCGCCGGAGCUCCCCAGCGCAGUGGUGAAUCACCGCUGAGGGUGCCCGGAGGGUCCUCUGCCCACCGGCGCCGCGCGCGGCGCCCAGCACCUGUUUGACCUCGGAUCAGGUAGGACUACCCGCUGAACUUAA
rnacentral:misc_RNA from 1 species